rnacentral:rRNA from 1 species
CCGGUUGAUCCUGCCGGACCUGACUGCUAUCGGAUUGGUACUAAGCCAUGCGAGUCAUUGUACAAUACAAGGCGGACGGCUCAGUAACACGUAGUCAACCUAACUCGUGGACGUGGAUAACCUCGGGAAACUGAGAAUAAACCACGAUAGAUCAUAGUGCCUGGAAUGGCUUAUGGUCCAAACAGUUUACUGCCAUGGGAUGGGACUGCGGCCUAUCAGCUUGUUGGUGAGGUAAUGGCCCACCAAGGCGAUUACAGGUACGGGCUCUGAGAGGAGAAGCCCGGAGAUGGGUACUGAGACACGGACCCAGGCCCUAUGGGGCGCAGCAGGCGAGAAACCUUAGCAAUGUGCGAAAGCACGACUGGGUCAGUCCGAGUGAUUCCUGAUAAAGGAGUCUUUUGCUUGUCCUAAAAGCACAGGUGAAUAAGGGGUGGGCAAGUCUGGUGUCAGCCGCCGCGGUAAUACCAGCACCUCGAGUGGUCAGGACGUUUAUUGGGCCUAAAGCAUCCGUAGCCGGCUUUGCAAGUCUUCGGUUAAAAUCCACCUGCUCAACAGAUGGGCCGCUGGAGAUACUAAAAGCUAGGGAGUGGGAGAGGCAGACGGAUCAAGGGGUAGGGUAAAAUCUCUGAUCAUUGA